GAGCCGCUAGCUCAUUCGGUAGAGCAUCGCCCUUUUAAGGCGAGUGUGCUGGGAUCGAAACCCAGGCGGCUCACCA
rnacentral:tRNA from 2 species